UACGAAGGGGGCUAGCGUUGUUCGGAAUUACUGGGCGUAAAGCGCGCGUAGGCGGCGAUCUUUGUCAGAGGUGAAAUCCCGAGGCUCAACUUCGGAAUUGCCUUUGAAACGGGAUUGCUUGAGUCCGAGAGAGGAUGGCGGAAUUCCUAGUGUAGAGGUGAAAUUCGUAGAUAUUAGGAAGAACACCGGUGGCGAAGGCGGCCAUCUGGCUCGGUACUGACGCUCAGGCGCGAAAGCGUGGGGAUCAAACAGG
rnacentral:rRNA from 1 species